CCUACGGGAGGCAGCAGUGAGGAAUAUUGGUCAAUGGUCGGAAGACUGAACCAGCCAAGCCGCGUGCAGGAUGACGGUACUACGGGUCGUAAACCUCUUUUAUCCGGGAACAACGACUCUUACGCGUAGGCCGUUGCAUGUACCGUAUGAAAAAGCAUCGGCUAACUCCGUGCCAGCAGCCGCGGUAAUACGGAAGGUCCGGGCGUUAUCCGGAUUUAUUGGGUUUAAAGGGAGCGCAGGCGGGCUGUUAAGCGUGCGGUGAAAAGCCCGGGCUCAACCCGGGCCUUGCAGCGCAAACUGGCAUGCUUGAGGCCGCGGAAAGCAGGCGGAAUGCGUGGUGUAGCGGUGAAAUGCUUAGAUAUGGCGAAGAACCCCGAUUGCGAAGGCAGCUUGCUGCAGCCAAACUGACGCUGAUGCUCGAAAGCGCGGGUAUCGAACAGGAUUAGAUACCCCAGUAGUC
rnacentral:rRNA from 1 species